UACAGAGGGUGCAAGCGUUAAUCGGAAUUACUGGGCGUAAAGCGCACGUAGGCGGUUUUUUAAGUCAGAUGUGAAAGCCCCGGGCUCAACCUGGGAAUUGCAUUUGAAACUGGGGAACUAGAGUGUGUGAGAGGGGGGUAGAAUUCCAAGUGUAGCGGUGAAAUGCGUAGAGAUUUGGAGGAAUACCAGUGGCGAAGGCGGCCGCCUGGCACAACACUGACGCUCAGGUGCGAAAGCGUGGGCAGCAAACAGG
rnacentral:rRNA from 1 species